rnacentral:rRNA from 1 species
UAGGGAAUCUUCCGCAAUGGACGAAAGUCUGACGGAGCAACGCCGCGUGAGUGAAGAAGGAUUUCGGUUCGUAAAACUCUGUUGUUAGGGAAGAAAAAAUGUAUAGUAACUAUAUACAAAAGAGACGGUACCUAACCAGAAAGCCACGGCUAACUACGUGCCAGAAGCCGCGGUAAUACGUAGGUGGCAAGCGUUGUCCGGAAUUAUUGGGCGUAAAGCGCGCGCAGGUGGUUUAGAAAGUCUGAUGUGAAAGCCCACGGCUCAACCGUGGAGGGUCAUUGGAAACUAAUAAACUUGAGUGCAGGAGAGAAAAGUGGAAUUCCUAGUGUAGCGGUGAAAUGCGUAGAGAUUAGGAGGAACACCGGUGGCGAAAGCGGCUUUUUGGCCUGCAACUGACACUGAGGCGCGAAAGCGUGGGGAGCAAACAGG